rnacentral:rRNA from 1 species
CCCUUAGAUGUUCUGGGCCGCACGCGCGCUACACUGAUGCAUUCAACGAGUCUAAAACCUGCUCUGAUAGGGGUGGGUAAUCUUUUGAAUGUGCAUCGUGAUUGGGAUAGAUGAUUGAAAUUUUUCAUCUUCAACGAGGAAUGCCUAGUAAGCGCAAGUCAUCAGCUUGCAUUGAUUACGUCCCUGCCCUUUGUACACACCGCCCGUCGCUCCUACCGAUUGAAUGAUCCGAUGAAUAUCAUGGAUUGAGGAUGCAAGUAGGUUCACCUAUCUUCAUCUUCGAGAAGUGAAGUAAAUCUUAUCAUUUAGAGGAAGGAGAAGUCGUAACA